rnacentral:rRNA from 1 species
UUGAGUKAAAAAGCUUGGAUGAUUUUAAAAGACGAGAAGACCCUAUCGAGCUUGAAUUGGGUGUCUUAGUUUUGAGAUUUCUAAAGUUUAGUUGGGGAAACUUAAAGUAAAAAAAAACGCUUUAUUUUUUUAGGGCGAUCCUGUAGUAUGGAAGAACGAAAAAGUUACCGUAGGGAUAACAGCGCUUUCUUCUCUGAGAGGACUAAUUAAAGAGUUGGUUGCGACCUCGAUGUUGGAUUAAAAUUUCUUUUUGGGGUAGGGGUUAAAAUAGUAAGACUGUUCGUCUUUUAAAAUUUUACAU